GGGGAUUUAAGACAAGAGCCAGCAGAGCUCCAGGUUUGYCUGCGGACCUCUCAAACGCUGGGACUUUUAAAGCAUUUUCGUAACCUCCUGUCGCGGUCUCCAAGGGGAAUUACAGUUUCUGUCUGGGGACUGAAAGAAUGUGYGUGUGUGCGCGCGCAGAGGA